ACCGAACUCUCUGUCUCUCUAUUAGUGACAUAAAGCAGUGGCUGUCACAAAAUGUCCUUCAUUUAAAUGAAGGUAAAACUGAAUGCAUUAUGUUUGGUUUCAGUUUGCUUUAGAAUCGAUUUUAAGCUCUUGAUGUUUGUUUUUAAAGCCGUUAACGACCUCACUCCACCUUAUUUGUCUGAGAUAAGUGAGCAUAACGGGGCUUUGCAGUCAUCUGGUCAACCUUUUUUAGAAGUCCGAGGUCGAGGUAUAAGCUGUGGGGUGAUCGUGUUUUGGCUGUCGCUUCUCCUAAACUAUAGAACAAGUUACCCCCUGAUAUACGCACUAUCACUGACCUAAUACUUUUUAAAUCUAAGCUCAAGACCAUU